rnacentral:tRNA from 1 species
GCGCCCAUAGCUCAGCUGGAUAGAGCACGAGACUUCUAAUCUUGAGGCCGCAGGUUCGACUCCUGCUGGGCGCGCCA